rnacentral:tRNA from 1 species
AGAUAUCUGGCUCAAUGGUUAAGAGCAUUUGCUUUUCUUGCAAAGGACCUGGGUUUAGUUCCCAGUAACUA